GCUUGGGGGAGAGCAACCCCAUUUAUCCAGCUAAGUGUUCUACUCACGUUUAUACUUUACUCAAAUAAUAAAAAGAUGCAUAAUCAUAAAAACUCAAAUAAAGAUUUUGUGCUUAUAUAUAUAUCUUUGCUUAGUUUUCUAAAUAAAUAAAUAAAUAAAGUUUGCUAUGAACCCUCAUAAUAAGCUCUCAUAUGGAAAUGAUGAAUAAUUGCUCUGCCAUGACUAGUUCUCAAAAUUGAAAUCUCUCUCAAGUUUAGGCAUGACUGGUAUUAAUUAAGAUUUGCUCUAAACCUGAACUUGUGGGGAGAGUACUUGAUCUAAAGUCUAAGUCGUUGACGGAUACGAUAUUGGAAGGUUGAGCUGCUGUUUAUCUAUUCCUAGAGAUGCUAGAAUUCUGGAGAAUUUUAUCUUUAAAAAUCUUUAAAAUGUUACAUGAUGAGUUCCUGUACGAUGAGAGUUUAAAUUCCUACCACAGCCAUAUAUACAUACUUAUUAGACUAUGAACCAUUCAUUUACUUUUUACUGCUUAUGAGCACUGAGUGUGGUCAAGCUGUGUAGACCCUUAGGAGCUUGUCAUGUGGUUAAAAUCAAGAUUCACUUGCACGUUCACUCAUACAUGCUGCUUCUACUAUGGAAGUACGCAUCCACAUAUAUCCACCCAUUUCCAUACCCAGAUUCACCCAAAAAUAUUCUACUCCUAAUCUGGGAGAGAAUAGCCAAAAACAUUCUCCUAUUUCUGUUUUACCCUGUGAAAUAAAUGCUCAAGCUAUCUUGGUUACUACCACUUGCUAUAUUAUUUCAAGAGAUGAGUGCUCUAAAAAAAGUGAAUACGAGGAAAUAAAAAGGGGCAAGUGCCCGGAACCUCGAAAGAAAAGAAAAAGUGAGACGAGAAGUAAAAAUGGACAAGUGUCUGACAGUAAAAUUAGGGGUACAAGAUACCCACCUGAGAGAAAAGAAAAAAAAAGAAAAUAUAGAGCAUCUCAUUCUCCUCAAAAAGUUUCAAAAGAGCAAGAAAGGUAUGUAUCCCCUCAAAAGAGCACAAGUAGAAUUAGACUUUCACCAUUGUUAUCACCAUCAUCACCAUACACCAUUCAUGCGCCACACAUGCACAUCUUGAUUUGACUUAUUGACUUGUUCUUCUGGAUCCAUGGUUUGACUAUGCAAUAAAUGUCUUGUAAGUAUGUAUUAGCUAUCUCCCACCUAUGAGCUCCAGAUAUCAAACCUUAUUAGAGUAGGGUGAGAGAGAAGGCAAUAUCAUUAUGCCUCAUACCACAAAUACCACAUACUUUGAGAGAAGGCAUACACCAUUACUGCCUUGGUAAGGAUCUAGAAAUACCACAAAAGAGAGACUAGAGAGAGUCAUAUAAGGAAUCUCUGAGUUUUAUUUGAAAAUCUGCAAAAACUCCAGAGCUAUAGUUGAUCAAGAACAUGAGACGUGGCGCUUGAUUAGACCGUUCUAUCUUUUAACUGCUCAGGACACAAGUGACGGUUGCAAGCCCCAUGGUGGAAGGUAAUACGAGUAAGUUUAAAUCUUAACAAUAAACCCUAACCGAGAGAUGAGAUCUUGUUUGAACGCAUGUGUAUUUUUAAGGCAUGAAACCACUGCAGAAACUCUUGAGUUCAACUUUGCUCAGGGAUGAGCAAAGGUUAAGCUUGGGGGAGCUUGUUGACGGUCCUUAAUGCUCACAUUUAAUCAUCAACUAAUCAUAGAAAAGGAUCUAAAUGCAACCAACACCUAGACUUAGGGUUUUAUCUGACAGCAUUCCACGAGUUUUGGUGUUUGUCUAUUUCUGCAGGGGGUUAUCAGGAAAUACGGAGGAAAGGCCCACACGUCGGGUUUACAUAGAGAUAUUAACGUGCUGCGCAAUUUUCUAUUAUCUAGAAGACUCCAGAAGCCACGGGAACGAACGGGAAGCCGAGAGGACUCAGGGAUGGGGUGCCUGCCCUCCUUUCCUGGGCGCCCGCCCUCACCCAGAGUCCAAUCAAGACUCUCUUUCGGGAUAUUGCUCCACCGACCUAAAGGAUCAACAAUAACCGUUCAAUCAAUGUUGGUUUGAUCCGACGGCCCAGAUUCAUCUGAAAAGACUAUAUAAGUCAGGGGUGUGAAUGAAUUCCUUGUUCUUUAUCUGCUAGAAAACUUCUUUCUCCAUGUGGGUCUUCAGUCCAAGGUCUCCUGUCUUGAGGAGAACCUUAACUCGCGGAUCAGACAAAGAUGACGGAGCUUGGGGGGGCAUCGGAUCGACGCUCAUCUCUGACUAGUGUGAGGAUUGUCGGGAUGAACUCCUUGUACCUAUUCAAUUGAGGGUCUUGCCCACGUUCUUUACCUUAUUGAACAUCCUGUAGACAAAAGUUGACACAAACACAACUAGUGGAAAAUGUUAAAGGCCAGCUGUCCGAAAUGUCAGUCGUCUAGGGGUUAGUCAUCCGAAACAAGUUUUAAUUUUGCUUUGGACAACAGGGUCACUACUUAAUAGUGAACCUCGCUCUCUUUCUCCAAGGCUACCAAACUCACUUUCACUCUUCUCUUCCCCUCUACUCUCGUUCUCACUUCACUACUAGAGCUCCUCCGCUAGAAACCGAGAACUAAAGUGUGCGUGGGUUUUCUGGAAUGCUUGUGUGAUGGAGAUGGAGGCAGGAGGUGGUGAUUUAUAAAAGGAAGGGGGGACAGGGCGGGCGCCCUCUGUAGGUGGGCGGGCGCCCCACUCAGGUGGUCUCCCUGGCUGCAGCUUCUCUAUUCCCUCCUUUGCUUAGUCUUUACGCCAAAAAAUGAUUCAUGGGUGGUGGUUGGACGGUGGAAGUUGUCUAGUGAGUGGAGAUAUGUUGGUGGAUCAAAUAAUGUGAUGAGAUAUAUGUGAGGUAUGGUGUAUGAUAUGUGGGACCCAAGGAGUGUGGGUCAUGCUUCUAGAAGGUUGCUAUAAUUAGAUAUAAUGUAGGAAAACCUAAGAAAAUUUGAAACUUAUUGAAAAUGAACAUGGAAAAAUAUUUUUGUGCUUCCAUAAUAAUUAAUAAAUAUGGAUUGUUACACACCAUAAAUAUUCUUUAUAUGGGGCUUUUGAUUAUUAUAAUAAUGCUAUGAAUGAAUGUGACUAAUGCAAGAAUUAAUUAUGCAAGAAUUUAAAUGAUGUGGAUAAAUACCGAUUUACCUCCCAGCGAGGGUUUGGGAUUUUUAGGUCCCCCAAGCUAGAGCUCUAAAUCUUUUAAUCUUCUGAAUUACCUUCCUCCAGAGAUGGUGUCUCUAGUGGUUCUUCUUCAUGAACUUCCUUCAUUGUAGAGUCUCUCUCUGGUCUGGGCUUGAAUGUGAAGUGUUCUUCUUGUCCGUUUAUGUUGAAUUUGAUUUCUCCCUUCCCGACAUCAAUGUGGGCAUUGGCAGUGCUCAGAAAUGGCCUUCCAAGGAUGAUGGACACUUUUGAGUCGGGACUCAUGUCUAGUACCACGAAGUCUACUGGCACAAGGAAAUGUCUGAUCUUGACUGGGAUGUUUUCAGCGAUGCCCAUCGGGUGUCAAACUAAUUGAUUUGCUAGUUGGAGGCACAUUGAUGUUGGUUCUAGGGUCGUAUGCUCAAGCUUCUUGUAGACUGAUGCUGGUAUCACACUGACACUUGCUCCGAGAUCACAAAGUGCAUUGCUGAAGUGUUGGUUUCUGAUCGAGCAAUCAAUGGUGGGACAUCUUGGAUCCUUCUUCUUCCUUGGUGGUUUGUUGAGGAUGGCCGCACUGCAUUCUUCUGUCAGCUUGAUAACCUCAGUGGUGGGCAGUGGUCUCUUCUUGUUAAGAAUAUCUCUGAUGUACUUUGCAUAUGUGGGUACCUAUAUGGCAUCAAGCAGAGGUAUGUUGACAUAUAAUUUCUGAAUGACCUCUACAAACUUACCAAAGUGCUCAUCCGACUGCAGUCCUCUGUUUCUUCUGGGAAAUGGCAAAUAGUUGGUGUCAUAAAAAUCUUUCCUCAUUUCUCCAGCUCUUGGUGGUUGUAGCAGAUCUUCUGCUUCAACUGGGCUUUCUUCUUCUAUCACUGCUGGUUGCACUAGUGCUGUUGUUCUCUAUUUCUCUUUUGGGUAUGGGGGAUCCCUGGUGGCUUUGCUUCCUCUAGUAGUUAUGUUCUUUACCUACUCAAUGUUAGUGGCAACAGGCAAUGUAGCAGCUAGCUUUAUUAAUUUAAGCUCUACCCUUUUAUUAAGAGUGUUUUGCUCAUCAAAGGCAGUUAAUAGAAAAUCCAUUUUAUUGUGUAUAUCUUUUAGAGAUGAUUCAUUUGUAUCUAGCCUUUGUUUAACUUGGUCAUUAGUUUUGGUUUGUUGAGCAAUUAUCUCUUUUAAUGAAAGUUGCUUGAAAGUGUUACCUGAAUUCAUACCUUUGCUAUUGGGUUGACUCGAAGUAGGUUGAUAUUUGUAUGUUGUCUCAAUGGCCCUUUGAUCUUCUUUGAACUUGGCCCUCCGGUCAAUCCAAUGGAGCAAAUUUUCCACCUUGGUUGAUAGUGUAUUUACUUCUUCGGGUAUUUCUUCAGUUUGAUGACAAUGUUGAGCUUUAUCUUGGACCCAGCUUUGGUUUUCUGAUACCUUAUCCAAAAGUAUCUCUGCUUUUCCAAUUGUAAGCUCCAAAAAUGAUGCUUUAGCAGAUGCAUCUAGGCACUCACAAGCCUUUUGGGUUAAUCCAUGGUAGAAUGUCUGCAUAAGUAACCAUUUGGCCAUUCCAUGGUGAGGGCAAUCUGAUAUGGUUUCUGUCUUCUGCUGUUGGAAACUGACAAUAUUUCCUCUUAAGGCAGUUGUUUUACCUAUAGGGAAAAACUUUGAUAGAAAGACAUCUGACAAGUUCGUCCAGUUGUUAAUGUUAUCUUGAUGGGUGUAGAACCACUUCCUUGCCUUCCCUUCUAGUGAGAAUGGAAAAAGGCGAAGCAGUAUGAUGUUUUUGUCGACUCCGUUGAUGCGGAUUGUGCUUCCAAUCUCUAAGAAAUUCUGCAAGUGUGCACUAGCAUCUUCACGUGCCUUUCCACUGAAUUGUGUAGCUUGCACCAAAUUGAUGAGGCUUGACUUGAGCUCGAACUCAGGUGCUCCUUCUUCUACUUCAAAUCUUGGACCAGUUGGAAUGUUCUCAAGACUUGGAGCAGAAAAUUCUUGCAAGGUCUUUUGUGCCAUAGCUUCAGCAAUUGGUAGCUAGCUUCUUCUUUCUUUCUUGAUCGCUUUGGUUCUGAUGAUGAAGAGUUGAAUGUACCAAAGUCAAUCCUGAUAUACCCUGUAUAAAAAAUAUAAACAUAGAAAAACAACAGGGUAAACGUGCCAAAGUAGAGGUGCCUUGUUAUGAUUUCUCAUUUAGUAGCUGUUUAUGCAAUUAUUUCUCCAUAGUCUAGUCUAAUAUAUUUAUGUGAAUAACCUUGACUGAUUUCCUGACUUUCCCUAUCGACUCCCCGGCAACGGCACCAGAAAUGCUUGUUGACACUUGCUAACACCACUUGAAUACUAGGUUGUCAUCCCAGCAUGACACUAGAGUGUACUAAGGUAUUUAUGAAUACGAAAGCUCUCUAGAAAAUAAUCUAUUCUAUCUGCAAGCGCACAGAUAAAAUACCUCAUUGUAGCAUUUCACCAGAAAAAGUAUUCCGGGUAUUGCUAUUUAUAUUUUGCUUAAGAGAACGAUGAAAGUGAAAACAGGGGUAAAAUCUAUCAAGGCAUAUACUAGAGAUAAACUUGCAAGAACAUGAUUACUAAUGAGGAACUCGUCACACAGUCACUUGCUUUGGCAGGGGGUAAGCCAUAAUAAUAAUAAAGAUAACGAAAUAUAAGCUCAUGAGUAAAUAACACAGCAACUAGAAAUAGACUACUCCUCAUAUAUGUAAGGUGACGUCGGAUUAGCUAGAGAAUGGAUUCUGAGUAACUACUAUCUACUAAGUCACAAUCUACUCUACUUAUCUACAAGAUCAUAUAUAGCACAAAAGACUCUUUAUUCAUGUAUAAGGAACAUUGCUAAAGUAAAUCAGAACAUAGCAAAACUUACUCUGCAAUACAAAUUCUGCCUGUCCUAUCAACGGAGGGUGGACUAUAUAAGAAUCAACGAAGCUGUCACCAUCGCGAACUACCACACGACCCGGCCAAUAGGAUACAUUUGCAGGUAAAUAAUAUCUAAGCACCAUGCCUAUUGACGGUCCUUCAGUAUCAAAUAUAAUCAACAAAUAAACAAAGAAAAGGAUCUAAAUGCAACUGACAUCCAGACUUAGGGUUUUAUCUGACAGAAUUCCACGAGUUUUGGUGUUUGUCUGUUUCUGCAGGGGGUUAUCAGGAAAUAUGGAGGAAAUGCCCACACGUCGGGUUUACAUAGAGAUAUUAACAUGCACCGCAAUUAUCCAACAUCUAGAAGAGUCCAGAAGCCAUGGGAACGAGCGGGAGACCGAGCGGACUCGGGGGCAGGGCGCCCGCCCUGGCCAGGCAACCAAUCACGUUCAACUUCGCGGAUCAUGCUCGACCGACCUAAGGGAUCAAGGAAAACCGUGCGAUUAAUGUCGGUUUCAUCCGACGGCCCACAUUCAUUUGGAAGGACUAUAUAAGCAGACCCCCAGGCCCCUGGAGGAGGGGACCUCUAUCUCUCUGAAACCCUAAUUCAUUUAUCCAUCUCGGGAGAAGAAGCCUCUGAUCAAGCCCUAGAGCCACCACAUCAAUAGAUCUCUAGUUUAGCAUAGCUACAUAGGAUUAGAACUAGAAGGAGUCAAUCUUCGAUUGGUUUCCAGAUCUGUCAAGAGGAUUCUUGGUAAUUCCUCCACUGUUCUUCAUUUGUUCAUAAUUGUUUUUCAAUAUUAUGAAUAUGACUUUGCUCUACUUCAAUAUAUUGAUUAUGACUUUGCUCUACUUGUUUAUAUUGGCAAUUAUAUUAUUCUUAGUUUAUCAUAGUUAUAUGCUUGGCUUAGUUAGAUUGGAAUUAUAUACAUGUUUAGGAUCGUAUAGCGUUUAUCCAUGUGUACAGUGGGUAAAUGAUAAGUAUUGUGUAGGCGUGGUGCCUAUACCAUAUUUAUCUGCGAUUGUACCCUAUAUGCCGGAUCACGGGCUAGUUCGUGGUAGUGACAGCUCUAUUGAUUUUUAUAUAGUCCCCGUCUCGUGUAUAGGGCAGGCAGAGUAACAUUAUUACAGGGGAGUGAUUGCUAUGUUUCUCAUCUUCCUUGAUAAUAUCACUAUGCAUGGGCGUAGUCCUGUCUCGCAAUGAUUGCCAAAUAUAAUUGCACUAACUAUGAUAUGCUAGACUUUAUAGUUAAGAAUAACUUAGGAAAUAUUCUUGUAGUUCAUCCUAAUUCCAUGCUAAUGACUUGCUAGAAUAUCUAUUGAGGUGCUUAUCAUUAUUAUAUGUGGCUAGUUAUGCUGAUCAGAUUAAUUAUCUUUGUCACCAUUCAUACUUUAUCUAUCUUUUACGUGACAUUUAUUCCUGUAUGAAAGAGAUAGAUAAAUGAUCUCAAUUAUACAUGUAAUGAUAGAUACUCAGUUCUAUAUUCCAUUCCAUGAUCAACAUUGAUGAUUAGCAAUCCCUUCCCAGUGGUAAAAAUAUAAAUAACGAUACCUGGAAUACUUCUCGGUUAAAAUGCUACAUCGGUAUUAAUCUGUGCGCUUGCAGAUCUCAUUUAUUAUUUAUUCAGAAGAGCAAUUGCAUAUUUCAAUACCGCGUCUCUCAUAUCAUGAUGGGGAUGACAUUAAGAAUGCCCAACAAGCAUUUUUAGCGCCGUUGCCGGGGAAGGUUGAUUACUAAUCAGGAAUGAAUAUGGAAUUUUAAUUCAUCAUUCGCAUCACUAAUAUGAUUGAGCUUAUCAAUUCUCUCAUACAGUUUUAUCCUGAUAUUUUUUCUAUUUUAUUUUUAUGCAGGGUAAUGUAUGAAUAGAAGACAUCUUCUAGGAAAUUUUGUUGACAAUCCCGAAGCGUUAUUCAGAAAAACAAGAGCCAAGCUCAAGAAGAAAUCAUCAACACUUCAGCAAGAAGCUUCUUCCAAUCAAGAAGAUCACCGGAACUUGUCUUCAGAAUUCGAAGCCAUGGUGAACAAAAUGAUCCGCGAGUUCUCAGCUCCCACUACGGACAACAUCCGUACUGGACCUGCUGCAGAGAUCGAUGGCGACUUUGAGCUCAAGCCUGGACUUAUCAACAUGGUGCAAUCCAACCAGUUCUGUGGGAAGGCACAUGAAGAUGCUAGUGCUCAUCUCCAACACUUUCUAGAGAUUUGCAGCACAUUUACCAUAUCAGGAGUCCCCAGAGAUGCUAUACUACUUCGCCUCUUCCCAUUCUCACUGUUAGGGAGAGUGAAGCAGUGGUUCUACGCUACAAAAGAGAAGAAUACUAUGAAUUUUCUGGCUAAGUUCUUUCCCAUGGGCAAGACCAAUGCUCUCCGUGGAAAAAUUACAAGUUUUCAGCAACAACAUGACGAAUCCGUUCCAGAAGCAUGGGAGCGCUUCCAAGACUACAUCCUAGAAUGUCCCUAUCAUGGAAUGGAGAGCUAGCUACUGAUGGAGAUGUUUUAUCAUGGGCUCGGCAACAGUGCCGGAGAAACCAUGGAUGCUGCAGCUGGAGGAGCAUUCUUAUCACUCACCAUACCACAAGCCACAACUCUUGUGGAGAAGAUGGCGUCCAACCAAGGCUGGAAUGAAGAGAGGACCCAGACACGCAAAAAAGGUGGAGGUAUGCAUCAGCUCAAGGAGGUAGACAUGCUGUGUGCAAAGCUAGACCUGCUCAUGAAGAAGCUCGACGAUAAAGCUAGAGAUAAGAAAGAAGUUAUGCACAUCUGCGACUCUCACAUGACUUGUGAGGAGUGUGGAGAUACUGGACACUCAGGAGAUCAGUUCCCUGAGAUGCUUGAGGAUGUGAACUACAUCAACAACAACAACUACAACCGUCCUCAACAAAAUCAAGGUUGGAAUCAACAGACGCCUAACUACUCUGGUAAUUAACAAGACAUGUUUGAUGCAGGUAACUACUGGAGUAACCCCGUCACUGAAGUUAAUACUGACCAGGACGCCCCGUCAUCCCGAUCUCCGUCGUCAUGGUGGACUCCCAGAAGCACUCUGUGACUUUGGCUCCAGCGUCAACAUUAUGCCCAGGUUUGCAGAUCAGGCGUUAAGUUUCCCAAAGGGAAUAUUGAGGAACCUCUGCGUCCGAGUUGGUACAUUGUAUGGCCCAGCAAACUUCGUAGUGAUAGAGACCGGUAAUGAUGAUAGGGCACCCAUCAUCUUAGGGAGGCCAUUCUUAGACACAUCAGGAGCUGUCAUCUACGCUAGUGCUACCAAGAUCAGUUUCUACAUCAAAGGGAGAAAGGAGACGUUUUCCUUCAAGAAGAAGACUGCGUAAAUCUCAGAGCAAUCUUGACAUGAACCAUGGAAGAGGACCAACAGGAGGAACAGGAACAAGCAAGUGUGGACCGAGUUAGCUAAGAUGGUCACUGAAGUUCAUGGAGGACAAGAUCAUCAACUUAAGUCACUGUUUCUGACCAAGAAGGACGACCCAGGAAUGCCAAGCAUCUAUUGCUCCAAAAAUGGAUACAACUUCUACAAGACGUUUUGCGACACCGGAUCGGGCAUCAACAUAAUGGCCGCAGUCACCUAUCGGCUCUUGUUCGGAACCAUGCCCUUAAAACCAACAUACAUUCAGCUCUAGAUGGCAGAUCAGACAUUUCGAGAGGUUAAUGGUAUAAUAACUGAUGUCCCUGUCAAAAUAGACGAUCAUUUUGUCUACACAGACUUUCAGGUUAUUGACAUGGGUGGAAGACGAGUAUGAUUCACCCGUCAUCCUUGGAAGACCAUUCCUCAGCACCGUUAAAGUAAUUAUCUACAUUGGAACAGGAGAAGUCCAUAUGCACUUCCCCUCAUAGAAGGUACGCCGCUAUUUUACUGACCCUAAUUAUAUCGUUGAAGACUCUAAGCAGGUUAGUACAAGAAGAAGACGACGCAACCGCAACCAGAGGAGGCAAAUCAUCAAGGACGGAUGGGCAGACUAUGAAGGAAAAGUUAUAAGGUCUGAAGACAUACAGCUUGAACAAGAUUAUCCUGAGGAGACCGUAGCACCAAGUCAGGUGUGGAGAGAGAAGAUAACUAUACACGAAGAGAAGGCGCCACUGGAAGCACCGACUACGCCACCGAACGAACCCCAGGACAACUGAGAAAAUGGAGAGUCCCGUUCAAAGGACUUAAAAACACCGAACGCCUUGCCAAGAGGUAAACUUGGUAGUUAUCCUUUUCCUUUUCAGUUAUUUGAAAUAGUUUACUUAGUUAAUCAUGUUCAUACUAUCCUAAAAAGAAAAUAAAAAUGUUAAAAAUGGUAAGCCCCAUGUGAGUAUACGAGUGGCAUAAAAUCCAUAAGUACAUUCACUGUGGUGGCAUAAAAAUAAAAUAAAUAUUUCUUUUCUGCUUAUAAAAAUGAAAAUAUAAAAAUAGAGAGUAACAUUUAUUGAGGAGGCUCAACAUGAUAAAGGCUAGAUAUUUAUGCUAACACUUAAUUAGUUCCACAAAGCUUUGUUGUCUAUUCGAGCUCCACAGAAUUUAAGAAUUCAGAAGACUAGCAGACGGAGGACAUUCUAAUCGUUGUCAGGAUACUGCCGACUUUCAAAUACACCUUUGCCACCUUCCAACUACAUCAGAAGAAAUUAAGUCCAAAUUCAGCUUAGGGGAGAGCACCCGCAUUUAUCUCGCUAAGUAUUUCUAUCUAUCUUUAUACUUAUACUAUAUUAAAAUAUAAAUAUACAGAACUAUGGAAAACCAAAUAAAGAUUUUAUGCUUAUAUAUAUAUAUAUAUAUGUCUUUUGCUUAGUGUGUUUAAUAAAUAAAUAAAGUGGCUAUGCUAAAUUGAAUCAUAAUAAUAAAACUCUAGCAUGGAUGUGAUGAGUAGUUGCUCUGCCUAAUUUUCAAAUUUGAGUUUUCUCUCAAGUUUAGACAUAACUGUUAUAAUUUAAAGCUUGCUCUAAAUCUGAACUUGUGGGAAGAAAACUUGAUCUGAAGUCUAAGUUGUUAACGGAUAUGAUAUGGGAAGGUUGAGCUGCUGUUUAUCUGUUCCUUGAGAUGCUAGAAUUCUGGAGAAUUUUAUCUUUUAAAUCUUUAGAAUAUCACAUGAUGAGUUCCGGUAUGAUGAGAGUUUAAAUUCCUACCACAGCCACAUAUUUACAUGCUUGCUAGACUCUGAGCCACACAUUUACUUUUUUACUGCUUAUGAGCAUUGAGUGUGGUCAAGCUGUGUAGAGCCUUAGGAGCUUGUCAUGUGGUUAAAUCAAGAUUCACUUGCACGUUCAUUCACACAUGCUGCUUUCUACUCCGGAAGUACGCAUCCACAUAUAUCCACCCAUUUCCAUCUCCAGAACCACCCAAAAAUAUUCUACGCCUAAUCCGGGAGGGAAUAGCCAAAAACAUUUCUGUUUUCUCCUAUGAAAUAAAUGCUCAAGUUAUCUUGGUUACUACCACUUGCUACAUUAUCUCAUGAGAUGAGUGCUCUAAAAAAAGAGAUACGAGGAAAUAAAAAGGGGCAAGUGCCCAGAACCUCGAAAGAAAAGAAAAAGUGAGACGAGAGGUAAAAAUAGACAAGUGUCUGACAGUAGAAUUAGGGGUACAAAAUACCCACCUGAGAGGAAAGAAAAAGAAAAUAUAGAGCAUCUCAUUCUCCUCAAAAAGUUUCAAAAGAGCAAGAAAGGUAUGUAUCCCCUCAAAAGAGCAAAAGUAGAAUUAGACUUUCACCAUUACCAUACACCAUUCAUUCGCCACACAUACACAUCUUGAUUUGACUUAUUGGCUUGUUUCUUUGGAUCCAUGGUUUGACUAUGCAAUAAAUGUCUUGUAAGUAUGUAUACUUUAUCUCCCAC
rnacentral:lncRNA from 1 species